ensembl:lncRNA
UGUGUGUGUGUGUGCGCGUUUGUGUGUGUGUGUGUGUGUGUGUGUGUGUGUGUGUGUGUGUGUGUGUGUGUGUGUGUGUGUGUGUGUGUGUGUGUGGGUCCACCAGGAGAAGCCGUACCACUGCUCCUGGGAGGGCUGUGGCUGGAAGUUCGCCCGCUCGGACGAGUUGACGCGACACUACAGGAAACACACGGGGCAGAAGCCCUACGAGUGUGGGCUCUGUCAGAGGGCCUUCUCCCGCUCGGACCACCUGGCGCUUCACAUGAAGAGACACACCUGAGACACACACACACCGGUGGGGCAGAGACAAGCGUCAUCAAACUUUCAAUGUUUGUGGGCGAGACCAUGGACAUAAUAAAGGAUGGACCACAGACUGGAAAAUGGCCGCCCAUUCAUUCCUAUACAAACUGCUCAGUGGCGCAGGUUAACCAUGACCUCAGCUGAGGGGCGCCCCGCCCAAUCAGCAACCCGCAUCAGCAUCAGCUCGAGGAAAACCUUCCACGUGUGUCAGCCAUUAUCUCUGCAUUCGAUGUUAAGGUAGGAUGUGGCGAUUAGCCUUGAAAACGAGAGCUGGUAAAUCGUGGAAAAUGCAUUAAAAUGUCAGGGGACGACUCGGUUAUAUGCUAUAGACCCUAGUGUGUAUGUGGUAUAAAGGCUGGGACGAAUUUCGAAUUAUAAAUAUGUUAAAAUUAAUGUUGAAAUUACGGAGAGUCGCGAUUCCCAUUGAAACGGAUUGCGAGGCAGUUAGCCUUGAAAACGAGUACUGGUAAAUCGUGAAAAAUGCGUUAAAAUGUUAGAGGACGACUCGGUUAUAUGCUGUAUAGACCAUAGUGUGUAUGUGGUAUAAAGGCUGGGACGAAUUUCGAAUUAUAAAUAUGUUAAAAAUUAAUGUUGAAAUUACGGAGAGUCGCGAUUCCCAUUGAAACGGAUUGCGCGGCGAUUAGCAUUCCAACCUGUCAAACCAUCUGUUAUCUUUCCUGUAAGCAUCCAUGAACAUAAAAGUCACUUUAAGGGAGUAAACUGCAAUGCUUGUUUAAUGCAAUGCUCGUUUAAUGCUGUGUCGUGUCAUUUGUUGUCAUUGUAGAUGUCUUUUGCAAAUUUGCGACUGACGCCGUCGCAUCAGUUGGUCCUGCAGGCCUCUGAUGCGGCGGCGGCCUUCACCGCCGCCAGGGCCCAGAAGCCGGAGGAGGUGGAGAAGGAGGCCCGAGCCCGCGUCGUCUCCGGGGGCGGUGACCCCGGGAACCCCAUGCUGGUGCUGGGCUGCCACAGCAUCCAGCUUGGGAAGUACUGGGGUCAGACCUUCAGAUGGCUCCUGGAGAACGACGCGGGCUACGCCUGCCACGUGGUCGCCAGUCACCAGCGGGAGAGGGAGACGAGUGCCUCGGACAGCCCGCUCAUGGCCAACAAGGACAGCCUCGCCCGCUACUCCUGCGCCCACCCCGCUUUUGCAGAGCACCUCAAGUUCCGCCGGGCGCAGGAGGAGGCCCGGGCUCGCGCCACUCUGCCCGGGCGGGGGGGCGAGGCGCUUGUUGGCAUCGGGCUGUUCAAGGAGGACACCCUGAAGGACCUGUACGACUCCAAGGAGAAGGAGCGUCAGAACUACGUCAAGUGGCUACGGCGGAAGACCCCGCAGCCUGGGAGCUCCAUGGACGUCGCCAUAAAGUACAUUCUGGGCCGAGACAAGGAGCGGUCGGCGGAGGCGGCUGCUACACCCUCUCCGCCCGCCAGCAGCAGCACCAGCAGCGGCCUCAGCACCACCACCAGCAAGGCCGCUGCUUCCACCGUGCUGCCGCCCCGCAAGCCGACCGCUCCCAAUUUCUCGGCCCUUGUGCGCGGGCGUCCGAUGGGCCCAGGGGAGCUGCAGGCCCGGAUCAGGAGACUGAUGAACCCACCAGCACGGCCUGCAGCUCCAGCGGUGUCUUCCGUCAGAGACCAGCGCCCCUCGGUUCCGCCGCCCCCCACCACAGAGGUGACGGACGAGGAGCUGGUCCAUUUGGUCACUGACGGAGAAAUGGCUGAUGCUUGAAGGACAAAGACCCGGUUGGCUGAGGGCUGGCGGACAGCCCUCACCGGGGAAGAGCAGGAGCUGAACAGUAGGACCCUCUCGCUGUGGUUCACCCGGACGCAGCGAGAGAAGGAGAGGGCUGUGUUGACUUCAGGCGUUGCAGCAGACGGAGGACGACCACCGGCGGCGGCCGCGGCGACAGCGCCGGGCCCGGCCUCAGCGGCGGCGGUGGAUCGUCCGGCGGCAGCAGCGACGUCGGCGGUGCCUCAAGGCCGGGCGACGCCAGCGGCAGCGAGGGGGGCGGCGGCCCGGCAGCGGCCCCGGCUGUGGCAGCACCGGGGCCCGCUCUGCCGGCGCCCAGACGGCUACUGGCGCCUCGACAGCCCGCCCCCUCGGCUGCUUACCCGGCCUUCCUGCCGACGGCUGCUGCCGCAGCUGCAACUGGACCUUUAAGAGCAGCACAGCCUCUCCUUGUGGACCUCUUACUGCCCCGGCAGAGUGUGUGGGUGCUCCCCGUCCCCGUCCUGACGCUCCCUCGGACACUGCCGGCUCCACACGUCCUCCCUCCGCCGCUGGCCGCCGCACAGCACGCCGGCCCUGAGCUGCCUGUAGCCCUGCCCGCCGCGCAGCACGCCGGCCCUGAGCUGCCGGUAGCCCUCAAAACGGUAGAAUGGAGGAGGCUGAACGCCAAGCGGCGGGCGGAGGCACAGCCGGGCACAACCUACUCCUCCCGGGCCGGCGUGCCACAGGUGCAUAAGUGCAGUAAAUGCGGCCAGCCGAGGCGGAGGGAGACCGGACACUCCCGCUACGGCGGAGAA